rnacentral:rRNA from 1 species
GAUGAACGCUGGCGGCGUGCCUAAUACAUGCAAGUCGAGCGAACAGACGAGGAGCUUGCUCCUCUGACGUUAGCGGCGGACGGGUGAGUAACACGUGGAUAACCUACCUAUAAGACUGGGAUAACUUCGGGAAACCGGAGCUAAUACCGGAUAAUAUAUUGAACCGCAUGGUUCAAUAGUGAAAGACGGUUUUGCCGUCACUUAUAGAUGGAUCCGCGCCGCAUUAGCUAGUUGGUAAGGUAACGGCUUACCAAGGCAACGAUGCGUAGCCGACCUGAGAGGAUGAUCGGCCACACUGGAACUGAGACACGGUCCAGACUCCUACGGGAGGCAGCAGUAGGGAAUCUUCCGCAAUGGGCGAAAGCCUGACGGAGCAACGCCGCGUGAGUGAUGAAGGUCUUCGGAUCGUAAAACUCUGUUAUUAGGGAAGGACAAAUGUGUAAGUAACUAUGCACGUCUUGACGGUACCUAAUCAGAAAGCCACGGCUAACUACGUG